CAGAGGAGGGACUUUAGUCAGGAAGGUCUGGCUGCAAAGUCUACACUGGCUAUUUGCCAGCAAGUAAAGUCUUCUGAGUUUAUAAGAUGUAAAACUCUCAUCUGCCCAGCACAGGAGUGCUGAAGAGGAAGUGCGUGGACAGCAGUCACUAGGCAGGUGUGUGGACAGCUGUUACUAGGCAGGUGUGUGGACAGCUGUUACUAGGCAGGUGUGUGGACAGCCGUCACUAGGCAGGGAGCAGGAGCUGACCAACAGCAUCACACAUGUCCAAAAGAUCGUUUAAAGUCGAUGCUGGGAGCUGUCUUUACGUGCAAUUCCUGGUUGUUAGAGGAGAGCCAGUAAAAGUGAUUGCCUAGCUGAACUGAACUUCCAAAGGAAAUUCCACGAAGGAGUUUCCUUAGAGCUGAGCAGUAGGACUGGAGUCAAGGAUGGCGGAGAGACAGAUCACAGAUCCUUACUGCUCUUAUCAAGUCUUGCUACCCAGCAUCCACUACUCUGUUUUGGACAGGAGCUCUGCAGUAGAUCAAAGUGGAGUUGCAGUCUGCCCAGACAUUGUGGAAGCUGAAUGUGGCAAGGACAGCGUGUGGGGUCCUUCCCUGCAUCGCCUCUCACUGCUAACACUGGGGCUUGUAACUCAAGACUACCUAAUAGGCUUCCAGAUGGCUCUUCAAAUUUCAAGAGAGCACCGGAAAAGAACAGGGGAAAUUAGAAGCUUGCAAGGCGACGGUGACUACAGAGCUUGAAUUCUGGGCACAAACGGGAACAUCCUGUGCAAGGAACAUCGGGACUUCUAACCUGGCUCUUUCAGCUAGCAUCAGAUAACUGUUUCUUCACUGUAUUCUCAAAUGUCCUCUUGUCUAUUGCAUGGAGAAAGGGCACUGUGUCCUUUCUUUUUAUAAGGUCACUUAUCUCAUCAGAUUAGACCCACUUAUAAUGUCUUAACCGGGCACCUUUUCCCUAAAGGCCCUGGUCACUUAGGGCUUCAAUAUUUGAAUUUUAAGGACACACGACUAUUCAGUCCACUGCAGAUGCUGCCUAGUCUCAUAUCUAUUUCUGACCAAAAUUCCCAAGCAUUUAUAUCAAUUCUGUAAAGUAUCUCAUAUCUUCUGCCAAAGAUUAUUUUCUGUUCAAAUGAAGCAGACUUCAUUUCUAUUCUGGCAACCGCAGAUUCGGACAUUACUUUGAAGGCUGGCAUCUGAAUCGUGUUAUCUGGGAAACUGGUUGUGUCCUUGCUGGUUUUAAAGAGGAAUCUCAGAGUUCACACGUGGGAUAUGUUGGGAGUAACAAACAGUUGAGUAGUGGUUCCUCUGUGCAGAUCUUUAAUGAAGCAGCCACUGGAAAGAAGGGUUUGGAGGAAUUGUGUUGUCACUGCUACAGAGUUGAGUGCGUGGCACUAGGAGGAAGUCUACUUCUCAUGGUGCUGGAUAGCUUGAAGAGUGAGUGACAAGCUCAGUACUCCAUUUUUCCCAAAGCGUAGGUCCAGGGACUUCCUCUGUGGCUCAUAAAUAUUUAUAGAAAUGUUUUCCCCAAAGAAACACAAACUGUAAACUCUGUGGGUCCCUGGAUAAAAGCUGCUAAGUUAUCAGUGUCACCAGGUGAUUUGCAAGAAAGUUAUAAUACUAAUCAGAACAUAACAGCAAAUGGAACUGAGAAGUGGAAUGUAUAAGCUUGGGCAUCCUCCAUCUACCUAGAGUACUGAGCCCUGCUUCACAGUGAAUGGUUUGUGUUUUCUGUUUGAUCUUUGGCACCCUGUGUCAGCUGGUCCUAACACCAGACCUUGAGCAUCUUACCUGGGGACAUGGUACCGUCAAUACUCAGGGAAGGCAUGCACAAAGAGAAAGUGGGGAAAAUAUUUGCUACUUUAGGAGGGUUUACCAAUCCUUACAUCUAUUAACAACAGGACUAGGGACUCUACCCUCUAUCUGCACUUAAAGAACAUUGAUACUGGCAAGAUAUCUCAUCUUAGUAGUAACAUUUAAUAUGCACCCAGACACCCCUACAGCUUAUCAACAACCACUUGGCUAUUCUUUUAAGUAAUAAGUUCAGAGGCAGAGCCCAGGGGUCUUGGCAGCCCGUAACAUACUUAAGUCAAGGUUAUCUACCAGGUUUUAUUUUCUUCAAAGUAACUUCAAGGUGUUUCAGGAUUGGCUUCCAUUUGAGAAGUGCUUGAUUUCAAAUAUCACAUCCAAAAGAAUUAUUUCCCUUUAUUCUCUGAAAAAUGCCCUUAGUGGGCAAUAUUUUAAAAUCAUAGAGUAUAUUUAU